rnacentral:tRNA from 1 species
GCCAGUGCGGUGUAGUGGUUUGAGUGUUGGACUGCGACUCUGGAGACCAGGGUUCGAUUCCCAUUUUGGCC